rnacentral:rRNA from 1 species
CCUACGGGUGGCAGCAGUGAGGAAUAUUGGUCAAUGGACGAGAGUCUGAACCAGCCAAGUAGCGUGAAGGAUGACUGCCCUAUGGGUUGUAAACUUCUUUUAUAUGGGAAUAAAACGUUCCACGUGUGGGAUUUUGUAUGUACCAUAUGAAUAAGGAUCGGCUAACUCCGUGCCAGCAGCCGCGGUAAUACGGAGGAUCCGAGCGUUAUCCGGAUUUAUUGGGUUUAAAGGGAGCGUAGGUUGAUUGUUAAGUCAGUUGUGAAAGUUUGCGGCUCAACCGUAAAAUUGCAGUUGAAACUGGCAGUCUUGAGUACAGUAGAGGUGGGCGGAAUUCGUGGUGUAGCGGUGAAAUGCUUAGAUAUCACGAAGAACUCCGAUUGCGAAGGCAGUUCACUGGACUGCAACUGACACUGAGGCUCGAAAGUGUGGGUAUCAAACAGGAUUAGAUACCCUAGUAGUC